UUGAAGAUUUUCUUUUUUAGUUUAGAGAAACAGGUACAAGUUAUGUAGUGUUCUGUGAUUCUGGUUUUGCACACUCAGAGAUAGACCAUACCAUUUAUUGUUAAUUUGAUCUAAAGGCUUUCUUUUCCAUAUUUAGACAUUAUGUUGGUAUAGCUGGUAAUUUGCAUAAGAGAAAUAAAUUACCCGCAUAUUAAAAGGAGUUGAAGUGUCUUAAAUGCUUAUGCAGCCACAAGUAGAACAGUUAGAAACACACUGGUUAUAUUUCUUAAUUAUUGAUAUUUAUUUAUGAGAGUAAUUUUCUGCUUACCAGUUGUCAUUAAUCCUUACAGCUUUAUGGUUCAUAUGCUCCCUUAUGCAUGUGGUAUUGACUUUGUUUAACAAAUUGUAUUAUUCGUACUGUUUUCUAAAUUUGCUGCAGAAACUUGGCAUUCUGCAAAGUCUUGAACUGAAGGAAAGAAUUUUCCUGAUGAAACUUGCGCUGGCCUAACAGAACCAUGACCAAUGUGCAUGAUCAAAGCCCCCAAAGAGUGAGCAAUAAUGAGUUUGAUUGCUAUUGUGAACAUGUUGGAAAACAGCAUAGGAGGAGAUAAAAGCUUGCUUUGACUUUUCUUCAAAUCCUGAGCUCUAACAUACUUCCUAGCCUCAUCUAUACCAGAGGUUCUCAAACAUGACUCUUCAUAAGAAUUGUAAUAGAGUUUGCCUCCUGUCACGAGCACACUAAAAUCACAACUGUCUGCAGAGCGGCCAUGGAUGGAGAAGACUGGAACUUACCAGCGAAGAUAUUCUAUGGUGACACCUGCACCAGAUUGACUGGGACCUUUUAAGACUACGCUGAUGUGUCCGUCUAUCAUAGUUCCUGGUUCAGUAGGUCUAGGGUCAGGACUGAGAAAUGGCCUUUCUAACAAGUUCCUAUGAGGUGCCCUCAGAUAUUGGGCUGGGAACUACCCCUCCCCCAUCCUUUGUUAACUACCACUUUAUUAUUUCAUGAGAUUCAGGGGAAGAGAGGUAUUGUGCCUUUAUAUUCUCCAUCUGCCACCAGUGCCUAGUAUGUAGAUGGCACAAACAAAUACCAUUUGAAUAAAAACAGUUGGCCAAACCCUAUCUCAUUCAUAAUGAAAACACAGAAUAUUGGGCAUUUCUUUUGGCCCAUUAAGGAUAAUGUUUUCCAAAGAGGCUCCAAAAAUAACACUGACCUAGGGAUCUGUGCUGCUGUGGAAUCUAGAGCAUCUGGGGAUACUUUCUAUGAAAACUUAUUUUCCCCCAAGCCACUAAGGUACAGUAAUGCAAUCAGCAUGAUGUACAGGUUUGUUGACUGUUCAGGCUUCCAUUCAGGGGGUCUUGAAAUGAAGAAGCAACAGAAGCAUCUCCUCUAGGACCAUCUGCUCUCAAUUUUUCAGCUGAACCUCCUGAAGACUCACCAGGUGCUAAUUUUGUAUAUGGUUCCAUUGGAAUUCUAUCAUUUUUCUCUAGAUUUUACUUCCCAAAGAAAAGGAAGAAUUCACUGAAGCAGAAAACCUCCCUGACAUAGAGAAGAUCAGGAGUGAUCCCCAGCUG